AACGCAACUGGCGCCGGUUUACCGGUAUUCCUGUUUCUGUGUGCUAGGAGAGUAAACUAUCAUUAUAAGAUAUAAUGCGAUUGAGGUACAUUUAUGUUCUUCUUUCGUUAAAUAUGAAGGUGUGAAUGAUGAGUAAUCUCUCACACUGGCAAACGAAGUAAUCAUGCUUGUUCGUGAUCUCGUUUAACCAGUGCUAAAGUUUUUUUCUUAGCUAUAAAUCUCAUCUAAUCAAAUAAAUAUCUGCAAAUUUGGCAACUGAAAUCAGACAAGGAUAACCGCUGAAAUUA
rnacentral:misc_RNA from 1 species